GCAUACUUAUCUCAAUGGUUAGAUCAUCAGUCAUACAUGCUGAGGUUGUGGGUUCAAGUCCCACAGUACACA
rfam:Puccinia sorghi strain RO10H11247 Scaffold_223, whole genome shotgun sequence.